UACGGAGGGAGCUAGCGUUGUUCGGAAUUACUGGGCGUAAAGCGCACGUAGGCGGCUUUCUAAGUCAGGGGUGAAAUCCCGGGGCUCAACCCCGGAACUGCCCUUGAAACUGGAUGGCUAGAAUCCUGGAGAGGCGAGUGGAAUUCCGAGUGUAGAGGUGAAAUUCGUAGAUAUUCGGAAGAACACCAGUGGCGAAGGCGACUCGCUGGACCAUUACUGACGCUGAGGCGCGAAAGCGUGGGGAGCAAACAGG
rnacentral:rRNA from 1 species